rnacentral:rRNA from 1 species
UACGUAGGAUCCGAGCGUUGUCCGGAAUUACUGGGUGUAAAGGGCGUGUAGGUGGGUUUUUAAGUCGGUAGUGAAAUCCUGCAGCUCAACUGCAGAACUGCUUCCGAUACUGAGAACCUUGAGUACGGCAGAGGGAGAUGGAAUUCAUGGUGUAGCGGUGAAAUGUGUAGAUAUCAUGAAGAACACCGGUAGCGAAGGCGGUCUCCUGGUCCGUAACUGACACUGAGGCGCGAAAGCGUGGGGAGCAAAC